rnacentral:rRNA from 1 species
GUGCGAUAAGGGGACUCCAAGUGCGAGGGCAUAUCGUCCUCGCUAUCCUGUACUGUAGGGUAGUACAGUAUCAAGAGCUGGGCAAGACCGGUGCCAGCCGCCGCGGUAAUACCGGCAGCUCGAGUGAUGGCCAAUCUUAUUGGGCCUAAAGCGUCCGUAGCUGGCCGCCCAAGUCCGUCGGGAAAUCCAUCAGCCCAACUGAUGGGCGUCCGGCGGAAACUGCACGGCUUGGGACCGGAAGGCUCGAGAGGUACGUCCGGGGUAGGAGUGAAAUCCCGUAAUCCCGAACGGACCACCGAUGGCGAAAGCAUCUCGAGAAAACGGAUCCGACAGUGAGGGACGAAAGCUAGGGUCUCGA